rnacentral:lncRNA from 1 species
CAGGCAUUAAAUAUGUAUUGAAAAGUGGUGACUACGUAGAUCAAUCAGAUGAGAUGGUAUAUUCCACGUCAGAUUUUCUAUACUGCUUGCAGUGCACAAAGAAUUUCUCUAAUUUUCAAUCUUCACAUUACUUUUGUGAAUAAAGAUUUUUAUUGAAGGCGAUUGGAUCCACCAUAAUUGUGUGGAUAUAAUUUCCCGUUGGCCUAUCGAUGGGCCCUUCCUAUCAACCUCCAAAAGAACAUACAACGUGAAGUUAGUUGGAAUCAUAGUCUUAACUUGAUUGCAGCUUCUAGAUUAUCAUGACCC